rnacentral:misc_RNA from 1 species
GAUGAAGAACGUAGCGAAAUGCGAUAAGUAAUGUGAAUUGCAGAAUUCAGUGAAUCAUCGAAUCUUUGAACGCACCUUGCGCCCUUUGGACAUUCCGAAGGGCAUGCCUGUUUGAGUAUCAUGAACGCCUCAACUCUCACGGCUUGUCCGUGAUGAGCUUGGACUUUGGGGGUCUUGCCGGCCUGUGGUCGGCUCCUCUCAAAUGGAUCAGCUUGCCAGUGUUUGGUGGCAUCACAGGUGUGAUAACUAUCUGCGCUUGUGGUUUUCCAUCAGAUAACCUUCAGUGAUAUGGAGGUUCGCUGGAGCUCACAAAUGUCUCUCCUUAGUGAGGACAGCUCUUUGAACGUUUGAUCUCAAAUCAGGUAGGACUACCCGCUGAACUUAAGCAUAUCAAUAAGCGGAGGA